CCCUUGCCGCGAGCUGCCCGAAGUUUCCUCUGAGCAUGCGCGAAGCGGGUUGUUCGAAGGCGCGUCUCGGGCCGAGGCGGAGGGCUCGCGGAGGAAGGGGCUCACGCAUGCGCCGUCGGGGCCCGAGCGCCUCAGCGCGGGCCGUCGAGCGAGGAGCGACCCGACGUGCGGCCUGGCCUUAGGCGCUGGCAGAAACGCUGAAAUCCAGCACAGGAGAGAAAAAACCGCACGUACCUGCCUGCGAAGUGCAGCAGGGUCAAGUUACGGGCGCUGGCGGUUAUCCCAGGAACGCUGUUACAGACGUGCUGUGGCACAGCUGGGAUGGUAAUGGAAAAUAGCCGCCCAGAAUAAUGAAGGUUAAAUACAAAGUGAGUAAGAAUGUCAAUAGUCACAGUCCAGCUUGGUCAGUGUGGUAAUCAGAUUGGGCACGAGGUGUUUAAUGCUAUCUGCAGUGACGUCCAUGGCACGCAUGGAUUGUGUUCCAAGAAGGAAAACGAAUCCUACCAUGAAGCCUCCAAGGAACGCUUUUUCAGUGAGGAGAAAUCUGGAGUCCCUGUUGCCCGGGCUGUGCUUGUUGACAUGGAACCCAAAGUAAUCAGCCAAACCUUAUCAAUAGCUGCCAGGUCUGGCUGCUGGAAGUAUGAUGAUCGGUCGCACUUCUGUCAGAAACAAGGCUCUGGGAACAACUGGGCAAAUGGUUACUCUGUUCACGGGCCUAAACACAAAGACAGAAUCAUGAAUCUCGUACGAAAAGAAGCAGAGAAAUGUGACCGACUCAGUGGAUUUUUCACAAUAAUGAGCAUGGCUGGUGGUACAGGAUCCGGCCUGGGAGCAUUUGUGACCCAAUGUUUAAAGGAUGCUUUUCCAGCCUCAUUUAUACUAAACCAUGUUAUCUGGCCAUAUGGAACUGGUGAGGUCAUUGUUCAAAACUACAACUCUGUUCUGACGCUGUCACAUCUGUACCGCUCAUCAGAUGCCCUUCUUGUUCAUGAAAAUGAUGUCAUUCACAAGAUUUGUGCUCAACUCAUGAAUAUUAAACAGAUCUCCUUCAGGGAUGUAAAUCAAGUCAUUGCACAUCAGCUGGGAAGUGUUUUCCAGCCCAUUUACACAGGAGCAGGUCCCUUACACUAUAGCAGAAGCCCAUUAGGAGACUUAAUGGAGACCUUAGUUCCACAUCCUGAAUUCAAGAUGUUGGGUCUUCGUAACAUACCUCAGAUGCCUGAAAACUCCCUAGCAUACAGCACAUUCAGUUGGCCUGGGCUCAUCAAACAUUUAAGACAGAUGCUCAUUGCUAAUGCUACAAUGGAGGAAGGUAUUGAUUGGCAAGUAAGACCACCACGUCCAGGCUCCUCCAUUCCCUCCAAACAUUCCACAAGCAAGUCGCUGCAUUUCAAUACUUCCAUUGCCAACCUGGUUCUCCUGCGAGGAAAAGAUAUGCACAGUGCAGACUUAGGAAGUUUCCAAGAUCCAGCACUAUAUACAUCAUGGCUAAACCCUCAGGAUGCUUUUAACCUGUGGAAGACACCACGAGCAUUUAACAAGUAUGAGAAGUCCGCUGCUUUGGUCAGCAAUAGCCAGUUCCUGCUGAAACCUCUUGACAACCUUGUAGGAAAAGCUUGGAAUAUGUUUGCUUCCAAAGCCUAUAUUCACCAGUACACUAAAUUUGGGAUUGAAGAGGAGGACUUCCUGGACAGCUUCACAGCUCUGGAACAAGUUAUCUCCAGUUACACCACCCUGUGAUUUUUACAAAUGUUCUCAACUAGAGCUUUACUGCAAGACCACCACACUGGAAGACCUUCUUGCAUCAACCUCCCAAAAUAUAUAAGACUGUAACUAUUUUUCAGUUUUGUGAGUAGUGCGUGUGUGUGUUGGAACAGAAAGAACUGAAUCAGAACUGAAUAUAUUCUUAUGUGCAGUUCAGGCCAGGAACAGAAGCACAAAGAUCCCCCUGGAGCAGCUGUUUGCAAAGUAGUUCUGGCAUGUGAGAACUGAAAUGGCAAACGGUCUUCUUGACAAGAUUCAAGUAAUUUUAUAACCAACUCUGAAGAAAAGGUAUUUUGACACAAGAGGCUUGAGGAAAGAUGAUUGCACAAGAAGUUAAGAUAAACAGCACAAGCAAUUCAAGUUUGCAAGGAACAAAGGGUCAGGAAAGGAGACAGCAUGGAUGUGGAGAGGAGGAGAGGGUCAGAGUGGAAGGAAGUAAAAAACCGUUAUCAAAUUUAUCAUCUACAUUUAGAAGGUGGAGUAGUCCUUUUCUAUUUUACUGAGAAAUUUAUUAUAUAAAAGACAGGCUGAACUCGGCAGAGGGCCUUUAUUUCAUUAGACAUUAAAGUCAGUGAGUUAGAUCAAAGGUCAGCACAAGCCAGUGGCUGAGGCAGGGACAACAAAAGCAAUGGCCUUGACCUUGAUAGCUUUAGGCAAACUGACAGAGUUUAGGAAUGACACAGGAUGUCCAUAAGCCAAGGAACAAUGCACCAAAUCUCACUAUUGUUUUUCAUAAUGGACAGGUGCAGCUUACUUGGAAGUUGAUUCAAGGAGUCUAACUAUAGCAGACAUAUUUAAUGAAUAGGGUAACUUUUACUUGGUCACAAUAAUCAGGACCAAAAAAUUAUCUUUAAUAUACUUGUAAAUUGUUAAUCAACUGUUUGACAAGUGGCAGAACACUGAGGUAGUGAUAAAUACAAUUUAUUUGGACUGCAGUACAUAUUGGUGCUUAUACGGUUAGACCAACUACCAGUACAGAAAGGACAGAGCCUCAGUGCAAAUAGGUACGGGGCUCUCAAGAGGAUUACCUGCAGAGGCUUACCAAACAGAAACAGCUCAAGAUUACUGGGAACAAUCUGUAGUUUUCACAAAGACCAGGAUUUUAUCAAUAGUAAGAAAGAAGGAAGUUACGCACCAAUUACCAACUGAUACACAACUGGAAAACAUUAAAGUUCAUAAGGAUACUGAAUAAUUCAUUUCAUUCUGUAUUUCUUAAUACAUUCACUAUAGAUAAAUAUUAUGAAACGAAGGACCAAACAUACAAAAGGAAGUAUUCUCAGAUGUCAAAGUGUACUUUAAAGAAGCCUGAGUUUUGUGGGACACCACUUUAAAAACUGCGUAAGUCUUCAGGAAUGUGAUUCAUGGAUCUGAUACGUUAUAAAAAGCUUCAAAAGGAACUGAGCCAUGCCUUUCCUCAACUGCUUUCAAGGACGGCCCAGACAUGGCUUUACCAAUGCAGCAAAUUCCAGUGCAGGCUUCCUCCUCUAGCCUCCUGCCUCUGGGCUUCCUACCCCACCUCUUCUUUGCCAGUGCUCCAGAAGUGUGGCCUGGUCCCUCCGACAGCCUUUAACCCGCCUGCCUGUAGAGCUGAUAAUCCUGAGUUUUAACUAUAGAGCCUUUCCGGCUCUUUCAGUCAAACUCGAUGUUCACAAUGGUCUCCUCUGAUUUCAUAUUGUAUGAAUCCUCUCCCUCUAGACAGCCACUUCCCCUCUAUCCGGGUGGGGUAGUGAGUCACCUACCUCAGUGAAUCAGCAGAACCUGCUUAACCCUUUCCCAGAAGCGUGGACGGCUGCAAUUGGGGUGGUGUUUCAAGCGAACCUUGAGCAAACUGUAAAAAGCUGAAGAUAGUCUGAAAUAGAGUUUAGAGAGACUGCUUCUGCUCAUUAAGAAAUAAGAGAUUUAAAGAGCUGUAAAUAUGUUCCACGAUAGAGCAGGGAUGCACCACAGUGAAUAAAUGGAAGAAGUCUGGACCUUAAUCCCACUGUUCAUACAAGCCUGAGAGAUUCUAGACAGUGAUUUCUAAGAGGGAGAGUUUAGUGGUAUAAAAUAAAGUCACAGGCCUCUGUACUUACCCUUGUGAAUAAGGAUUGCGGGAACAAGUUUGUCUUAAAAGCGGAUUUUUUAAAGAUGGAAUGUUACACCGUAAGAAAGAAAAGCAAGAUGAGGACUUCCUCUAGACCAAGAUUCCUACUUUUAAAGUGAGAACAAUAAGUACAGAAACCAACUAGAAUAAGCCACUAGUUAAUACAAAAGAGAAGAAAUAUUUCUCAACAUUUCUUGUCUGAGCUUCAGUUAGCUGUCAGCUUUUGUUUCACUAGUUAUAUAUGAUGAGAAAUUGAUACCAUCUUAAACGAUAUACGUGCAUUUAAAUGGGUGUGUUCUGUGACAAUGAUUAUGGCACAUAUUUGGUUACAUGUACAAUGUAAUGUUUAUAUAAAGUCUCGCAAAAAUACACUUCAGUUGCCUGAGAAUGGUGUAAUUGUGGUCAGAUGGCAUGAUUUAAUUUGAACUUUUGCCCAGCAGGCUUUAAUAUGUAAUAGUUCAUUUACUGGUGCAUGUAAGCAGAACACCACCAAAGGAGCCAAAUGGAAAGCAGCCUUGUCCCACACGCUGAAGGUGUAAUAAAAUACUGACUGUACUUUUUGGUUGGCAAGGGCAGCUGUAGGUUCAUUAUAAUAUCCUCAAUAAGUAUGGUGAGAGCUGGGCAACAGUUCAGAGCUACUGCUCUCCAGAUGGCUCUGAACAAUACCGAGUUCAAGAAUACGUAUUUUCAUGUAAGACUGCUUGCAAAGAAAACACUGGGAAAUUUCCUCCUCACCCCAUUUGUGGCAAUUUGAACCUCUGUUACUGCCUGCUUCUUUGUCAUCUAGUCAGCAAUUGUAUUUAUGCAAUUAUUUGACAUUGUAAAUUAGUAAUUUCUCCUUUCUAGGCUGAAUUUUGGUGAAGAAAAAGAAUGCUAGGAUUGGCAACUGAUGAACUUAAAUCCGAUUAAAUACCCUUCUCCCAAGAAGAAAGGUUCAGUUCCCUCCCUGCAAGGCAUUAACUCAUGUUUUCACAUUAUUUUCCUCUAUAAAGAUUUAGACAGGCUUCUUCACAAACCCAGUAUUUUCACAGUGAAGUGUAAUUAAAAAAAAAAAUCCAAACCUAAUGUGUGCUAUGAAAGAGUUGCUUAUUCUUCAAUGACUUUAUAAAUGAAACCUAAACUUGCUUUAGUACAUGUGGGGUCCUGUCCAAGCUGAACAAAACUCCAGUUAACAGGCCUGCACUUGUCAAAAAAAUCACUAAGCACCACCAAGGACAGUCAGGGCUGGAAGAAGGAUUGAGCAGAACAGACAUCAAUGUAAGUUUUAAGCUAGGAUUCUCAGGAUCAGGUCUGCCAAACAACACUAAGCACUUCCAUUAUUCAUGUAAUCAAAAUAAUCCUCUCAGUCACCACUAAAAUGUACUGCCAGAGUACAGCACGGGAGAUUUCCACGGUUCGCUCCGCUUGAAAACACUGGACUUCCCGUGAGCAGCCACCACGUUUUGUAGUGAACGCGGCAGUGCAGUUUGCCAUGUGGCGGUUGUGCGCAGGCAGAAACGUUCGAAACAGGUUUAUAUAAAAUGGUUAAGGGAGGCAGCAGAAUCAAAAUCACCAAAUGCAUCAGCACAACUCUAGAAGAAAUGCUUAGAAUGUCUUUUGGCAUCCACUACCUCGGGCUUAACUAAAUACCUUAAAGUUUUUUUUCUUCCAGCUACUUCCCACCUUGAGUCUCCUAAUGCAACAUAGAUGGCAACUGUAUGUCAUAAGAGGUCAGCUGGACUGAAGUGAGACGUAAGUAUCAAGAAAUUAGAGAAAUGAAAUCUGCUUUUAUGAAAAUAACUUUAAUAUUACAGCUCUCAAGCAAACAGCUGCAGCAAAUGAGAGGCACUGAGGGAAGUAUGGUUUCUAAUCUAGCCGGGCACAUUUUGUGAAAGUGACUGGAUCUGUAGGUGUUUGUAAAGCUAACUGUAUUUUCCCUUUAUGCAAAUCCAGUUUCUUUCAGAGAGAACAGAAACACUGAGUGCCGCAAACAUGCUUACAAGCCUUUUCAGCAUGUUGAAAGAGCCUGUGAAACAUGCAGUCUCAUGAAAGAUAAUAGUCCUUUAUAACUCAUUGCGUUUCUGCAGGACUUCUCAAGAAGGAACAGCGCAGCAUUGAGCAGGGGAAGACACCAACUUGCACAUUUCACAUGGACAGAAGAACAGUUUCCGAGGCCAUCAGGAGGGUGCGGUUUGUAGGGCAGUUAUCAGAGCAGGGAACAAUACAGAGCUGACAAGGCCUAUCUCUCACCUUUCAUCAGGAAACAGCAGCUAGUUUCCUUAUUACCAACUGCCUGGGCAACUCAUUUAUACUUCUCGGGAAACCAGAACAAUUAACCUGUGGAGUAACUCCCUUGAAACACGGAAGAUGCAGCAUGUUAAGCUACCCAUAUCUGAACAGCUUGCCAAAUGAGGUUUAAAGAAUGAUGACCUUUGAUUUAAAGCUCUUUUAGUCAUUUCGUAAAUGAAGAAUAAUAAUAAUAAACCUCCAACAGAAUAAAGGGGAAACGUUAAAGGCAAACUAAAACAAAGCUUGGCCCACUUAAGAAGUUCACAUUCGCAACGUUAAGUUCAGUUAACAUCACUAGCAGCAAAUAGGCUGAAUCACUUGACAGCUCAACAGCCUCUUGAAUUUGAAUUCAACGCAGAGCAAUACUCAACCUUUUUGACCAAGAGAGCAUUUUGCUGAAUUCUUGGCACAUGCCAAGAAGCCUAAUGCAGCCUGUUGGGCUCCUCCUGUCUGCUUUUACCUGAAGGGCAAUACAGCCAGACGUCUUCUGGACGUUUGAUGACAGCAUUUCUGGAUCUGGGCUCCUUUCACUCUUUUGAUAACUUACCCAGGUUGUUGCAGUCUCUUCCAUUCAUUCCACUAAUAAAACAGUUUUGCUGCCUUUUAUGAAGGCUAAGUGGAUGCAUCAAUAAGCAAAUGAAACGGAUAAAAGAAAUGCUCGGUUGCUAGCGUUUCAUGCCCUCAAUUAGAUACUUACAUUAAGAGCAUCACAGCAGGCUCGAAGAGUUUUUCUGCAUAAUCUCUUUAAAAAUGAGUUUGCAAGAGCAUAUGCAAAUAUUUACCCUCAAUCUGGCUCUGAAUGCAUUAGCAGGGUGUUUCACAGGGGAAGUGAUUGCUACACUAACUGUUUCCUGAAGAGGUUACAGCAAUCCAGCAAUUACACCCUUACCUGGACUAGGCUGUUCUCAGCCGUGGGUCAGAGCCCAGCAGGAAACCCUGGCUAUUGCUCUGCCACUUUCACACUUCACUUACUACUGCAUUCCUGAGAAGCCUAGGCAAAGUACUUACAGUUUAGGGUGCCCCUCAGCCCCAUUUACAGAAAAACAGAUUUUAAAUCCCAGAAGAGCUAUUUCAGUUAUCUUAUAUAUGACUACAUUCAGCUUUUAGUUGCUGAUUACAAAGUAUUUUUUUAACCACUUGCUUCAAAGAAAACUGCAAUUAGUUUUACUUAUGCCUCCAGGAAAUACACCCAGUCACCACUUAUUAUUACACCUGCAAUCAAUUUUGAGCACUAAUAUUUAUAUUUGUGCUUGAUAAUCACGGAAGUAGCCACAGUAUUUAUGGUUGCAAUUAGUGCUGGCUACAGAGAGAUGGAGGCUGACUUUAACAAAUAAAUAAUGAAACCCCAAAGCUCAGCAGGGAAGGACAUGCUGGAAUAGCGCUAAACCAUCUUCAAGUAUUAGCGACAAGUAUCUGUUAGCGUGAACAGGCAGCUGUGUAAUUUCAGAGGGAGCUGCUUCAAUGACAAUGUGAUGUUGGGACUACAGGUAAAAAGCUACAACCAGAGACGGGGAGCAGGAGGACUCCUGGCAGUUUCGAUGCGUUUCAGGGAAGCAUGGAACUGGAAGAUUUAAUCUGCCAUUGCCCGUGUCUGCCUAGCGGUCUGGCCUAGCACAAGCCAGCCUGACCUUUUUAGCUUUGCUUAAAUCAGUAAAAUUCUCACCCCAAACACGCAGAUGGUGGCUGUCAGGGAGAGGGGCACGCCGCUGUGCUGCCAUCUCACCUGCCCUUCCAAGUCCCUUGCUGAUAAGGCACAAUUCCCAGGUCAAGCAGUAAGCAAGCAGAGAAUGAAAGAGGAGGCUCAGUUACAACCCCAUCUGACUUCGGUUCUGAGGUACUUGUUUAAAUUAUUAGGUUGAUAAUAUGGCCAACUUUCUGCUUUAUUUCCUAUUUAUACUGCAUAUAUGAAAGCAGAGAUUUAGCCAUGUUCCAUGAAUGAUUAGGAGACUGAUAAUUCUACAGGACUUCAAAAACAUUUUUGAUUAUCUGUUUAACUAAAUUAGUUGUUUUUACGAGGGUUGCUAUUUACUUCCACAGGAUUUUCAGAAAUUCCAAGGGGGGAAGAAAAAAAAAAAAGGCAAGCUACUUAAUAUUCAGUGUCUAACCUGCAAGAAAAGUCAGCUAAAAUAUUGUGAUACAUGCUAAGAUUGUUGCUCUUGUAACAGAGUUCAUUUUGGAGUUUUCACUAACCCAGUUUCAACUAGAUGAUUGACCGCUUCCAAUAUGUAACUUGAAGUAUAUACAAAGAAAAGGAAACUUCAGAUUUUAAGGCAACAAAAUACAUGUUUUCAGAUGAAAUACUAAAAGCUUUGGAUCUUCCUUUGGAAGCUAAAAAAUGCAAUUGCAGAUGCAUCCUCUAGGUUCACACUCUACAUGUAGAGUGUUUGGGACAACAGAUUUCACUGUUUAACAACCAACCUCAAUAUACAGAAAUGGAAAUAAUCCAGCUGAAAUAAACACCGGGAAACAGUUGUUUGUUGGUUUAUUUAAGCAAACACAGAACUCUCCAUUUGCAAAUCUCAUUAGGUUUGCAGAACCUUCAUUUCUAUUUACUAUUACAUUUUACCAGGUCUUACAAGAUCAUCUUCCAGUGGCUGUUCAGGCAGAAGCAAGUAGAAUGACCAGUCCCUUCUUUAAAUAACUUUAGAAAGCUUCAAAAUAAUGGCAUAGCUUAGCAGAAUGGACAUGUACAACUUGCAAUAUAACCAAUAUAUAUAUAUAUUUCUCGCUAUGUGCAUGUAAACAUAUUUAAAUACAAGUUAGGGAAAGUUUUCAAUUUACCUAGCAAUUCUUCAGUAGGCAAGGAGACAAUUACAGGGAGAACACUAAAGCAUUUAGAAAGUUGUAUUUUAUUGGAACAAGCUCCAGGAAGAAGGUUUAUUAUUAUUAUUAUUACACAGUCCCCUCAUUUCACUCUGACAGCAUACAAAGACCUCAAUGUGGCCUGAGUUUCAUUUAUUGUCAUGAAAGGCCUUAAAACACUACCGGAGUUGUGUAAAGUAAAUACCAGUGUCCCUAAGAUGAAUGGCAGAUUUGAGGGGGGGAAAGCCUGCCAUUAAAAAUGGGGAAGUAGCAAACAGCUGUUUCACUAAUCCAAAGUAUUCUGAAGAAAAACAAGCAGGUACGAACUGCUGAUAUGUGAUUUAUCAGAAAGUGCAAAAUUAAAGUUUUAGUAGAUGAGAAAAGUGAAAUACCAGAAACAGCCAUCAUUUUUUGAAUGUGUAUCUCAGAAUGACUUCCUUGCUACAUUAUUUUCAAAGACCAUGCUUAGGCUAAAAGCAGAAAAAACUACUAGGACCAAGAAUUAAAUACUGUGCAUCUUUUAAAAAUACACAUGGCAAAUAAACGGCCUUUGUGCUUUUAAGUAUUUUGUACUACCUCUCAGCACUCAAGAGUUUUAGAUAUUUAAUCUAAUCACUAGCAGCUCCAUUGAGAGAAGUCCACA